AUGGUCAAAAACGGUGUAGUAGAUAUGGUUAAUAAAGUUAAAUAUCUUAAUCUAAUUUACACUUUCUUUAAUGUCUUCUUCUCACCUCAGCGGCGGAAAUCUCUCUAUCCACACUGAAUCUCAGAAAAUGACUACUCAAGCGCAACAGGAAACUAUGACAUUAAAGAUCACCAUUUUGGAUUGGAAUAAUACCAGAUCCAGGACAAGUGCGUUCAGCUAGUUUCAUGUCUAAGACAAGAAGCGCAAUUAAGGAUUACAAACAGAAGACAACAAUAGUAAAUUAGAAGAUUGUUAUGGCACAUAAGGUUGUGACUAAAUUUUCAGAAUUGCUUGGUGUAGAUGAAGACAGUAUUAUAUAUGCUUGCGUUUUGUAGCUUUCUUUGUUUGUUUUAAAACUUUUUGUAAGUAUUAUGUUAAACUAUUUCAGUGUUAAUGAUUUAGAUUUCAACUUUAAACGA